rnacentral:rRNA from 1 species
GAUGAACGCUGGCGGCGUGCCUAAUACAUGCAAGUCGAGCGAACGGACGAGAAGCUUGCUUCUCUGAUGUUAGCGGCGGACGGGUGAGUAACACGUGGAUAACCUACCUAUAAGACUGGGAUAACUUCGGGAAACCGGAGCUAAUACCGGAUAAUAUUUUGAACCGCAUGGUUCAAAAGUGAAAGACGGUCUUGCUGUCACUUAUAGAUGGAUCCGCGCUGCAUUAGCUAGUUGGUAAGGUAACGGCUUACCAAGGCAACGAUGCAUAGCCGACCUGAGAGGGUGAUCGGCCACACUGGAACUGAGACACGGUCCAGACUCCUACGGGAGGCAGCAGUAGGGAAUCUUCCGCAAUGGGCGAAAGCCUGACGGAGCAACGCCGCGUGAGUGAUGAAGGUCUUCGGAUCGUAAAACUCUGUUAUUAGGGAAGAACAAAUGUGUAAGUAACUAUGCACGUCUUGACGGUACCUAAUCAGAAAGCCACGGCUAACUACGUGCCAGCAGCCGCGGUAAUACGUAGGUGGCAAGCGUUAUCCGGAAUUAUUGGGCGUAAAGCGCGCGUAGGCGGUUUUUUAAGUCUGAUGUGAAAGCCCACGGCUCAACCGUGGAGGGUCAUUGGAAACUGGAAAACUUGAGUGCAGAAGAGGAAAGUGGAAUUCCAUGUGUAGCGGUGAAAUGCGCAGAGAUAUGGAGGAACACCAGUGGCGAAGGCGACUUUCUGGUCUGUAACUGACGCUGAUGUGCGAAAGCGUGGGGAUCAAACAGGAUUAGAUACCCUGGUAGUCCACGCCGUAAACGAUGAGUGCUAAGUGUUAGGGGGUUUCCGCCCCUUAGUGCUGCAGCUAACGCAUUAAGCACUCCGCCUGGGGAGUACGACCGCAAGGUUGAAACUCAAAGGAAUUGACGGGGACCCGCACAAGCGGUGGAGCAUGUGGUUUAAUUCGAAGCAACGCGAAGAACCUUACCAAAUCUUGACAUCCUCUGACCCCUCUAGAGAUAGAGUUUUCCCCUUCGGGGGACAGAGUGACAGGUGGUACAUGGUUGUCGUCAGCUCGUGUCGUGAGAUGUUGGGUUAAGUCCCGCAACGAGCGCAACCCUUAAGCUUAGCUGCCACCAUUAAGUUGGGCACUCUAAGUUGACUGCCGGUGACAAACCGGAGGAAGGUGGGGAUGACGUCAAAUCAUCAUGCCCCUUAUGAUUUGGGCUACACACGUGCUACAAUGGACAAUACAAAGGGCAGCGAAACCGCGAGGUCAAGCAAAUCCCAUAAAGUUGUUCUCAGUUCGGAUUGUAGUCUGCAACUCGACUAUAUGAAGCUGGAAUCGCUAGUAAUCGUAGAUCAGCAUGCUACGGUGAAUACGUUCCCGGGUCU